UACAGAGGGUGCGAGCGUUAAUCGGAAUUACUGGGCGUAAAGCGUGCGCAGCUGGUUACGUAAGUCGGGUGUGAAAGCCCCGGGCUCAACCUGGGAAUUGCAUUCGAGACUGCGUAGCUAGGGUGCGGAAGAGGGAAGCGGAAUUUCCGGUGUAGCGGUGAAAUGCGCAGAUAUCGGGAAGAACACCCGUGGCGAAGGCGGCUCUCUGGGACGGUACUGACGCUGAGACGCGAAAGCGUGGGGAGCGAACAGG
rnacentral:rRNA from 1 species